AGAGUUUGAUCCUGGCUCAGAUUGAACGCUGGCGGCAUGCCUUACACAUGCAAGUCGAACGGCAGCACGGGAGCAAUCCUGGUGGCGAGUGGCGAACGGGUGAGUAAUAUAUCGGAACGUGCCCAGUCGUGGGGGAUAACGUAGCGAAAGCUACGCUAAUACCGCAUACGAUCUAUGGAUGAGAGCGGGGGAUCGAAAGACCUCGCGCGAUUGGAGCGGCCGAUAUCAGAUUAGGUAGUUGGUGAGGUAAAGGCUCACCAAGCCGACGAUCUGUAGCUGGUCUGAGAGGACGACCAGCCACACUGGGACUGAGACACGGCCCAGACUCCUACGGGAGGCAGCAGUGGGGAAUUUUGGACAAUGGGCGCAAGCCUGAUCCAGCAAUGCCGCGUGCAGGAUGAAGGCCUUCGGGUUGUAAACUGCUUUUGUACGGAACGAAACGGUGAGCUCUAAUACAGUUUGCUAAUGACGGUACCGUAAGAAUAAACACCGGCUAACUACGUGCCAGCAGCCGCGGUAAUACGUAGGGUGCGAGCGUUAAUCGGAAUUACUGGGCGUAAAGCGUGCGCAGGCGGUGAUGUAAGACAGAUGUGAAAUGCCCGGGCUCAACCUGNGACCUGCAUUUGUGACUGCAUCGCUAGAGUACGGUAG
rnacentral:rRNA from 1 species